rnacentral:tRNA from 1 species
GGUCAGGUAGCCUAGCGGUUAAGGCAGCCCAUGCGUGUUUUGGAUCUGGUCGCUGGUUCAAAUCCAGCCCCGACCA